rnacentral:rRNA from 1 species
UACAGAGGUCUCAAGCGUUGUUCGGAUUCAUUGGGCGUAAAGGGCGCGUAGGCGGCGGGGUAAGUCUGGUGUGAAAUCUAGGAGCUCAACUCCUAAACUGCACUGGAUACUGCUCUGCUAGAGGACUGGAGAGGAGACUGGAACUCACGGUGUAGCAGUGAAAUGCGUAGAUAUCGUGAGGAAGACCAGUGGCGAAGGCGGGUCUCUGGACAGUUCCUGACGCUGAGGCGCGAAGGCCAGGGGAGCAAACGGG